rnacentral:rRNA from 1 species
UGUGUAUCAGUACAUGGCAUAUCAAUAAGCGGAGGAAAAGAAACUAACUAAGGAUUCCCUUAGUAACGGCGAGUGAAGCGGGAAGAGCUCAAAUUUGAAAUCUUCAAGGUUCUACCUUGACGAAUUGUAGUUUAAAGAAGUGUUUUCUGUUGGAGUUUUGGUAAAAGUUCUUUGGAAUAGGACAUCAUAGAGGGUGAGAAUCCCGUAUUUGACCAUUUCUUUCCAGCUGUGUGAUACACUUUCAAAGAGUCGGAUUGUUUGGGAAUGCAGUCCAAAAUGGGUGGUAAAUUUCAUCUAAAGCUAAAUAUUGGCGAGAGACCGAUAGCGAACAAGUACCGUGAGGGAAAGAUGAAAAGAACUUUGAAAAGAGAGUUAAACAGUACGUGAAAUUGUCAAAAGGGAAGCGUUUGACACCAGUGUUGUUUUCUCGAAAAUCAAUUAAAAAUGGCCGGAUGUUGUGUUGUAUUGACUUUAUCAGCUUUCUGCACUUUUUUUCCUUAUCUUUUUUAAUGCACUUUUCGUUUAACAAGUCAACAUCAAUUUCUUCUGUUGUAAAAGAGUCAUUGGAAGGUGGCUUUCAUUUCGGUGAAAGUGUUUAUAGCCUUUGACUUCUGCAAUCGGAGAGAUUGAGGUCUGCAGCGUAGAUCCUUCGGGGUUAGAUACAUUUGUGCUAAGUUAUAGUUUUUCAUAGACAACAUGUUGACUAUGAUUAAUCAUGUAGCUUACUCGCUUAUGCUAUUUUACCUACGCUUAGGAUGUUGACAGCAGUAUAGACUGU